UACGUAGGGGGCAAGCGUUGUCCGGAAUCAUUGGGCGUAAAGCGUGCGUAGGUGGUUUGUUAAGUCCGAUGUGAAAGCCCUGGGCUCAACCUGGGAAUGGCAUUGGAUACUGGCAGGCUAGAGUGCGGUAGAGGGCAGUGGAAUUCCCGGUGUAGCAGUGAAAUGCGUAGAGAUCGGGAGGAACAUCUGUGGCGAAGGCGACUGCCUGGACCAGCACUGACACUGAGGCACGAAAGCGUGGGGAGCAAACAGG
rnacentral:rRNA from 1 species